UGCCAGCCGCCGCGGUAAGACGGAGGGUGCUAGCGUUAUUCGGAAUGACUGGGCGUAAAGGGCGUGUAGGCGGUUAUAUAAGUUAGACGUGAAAGCCCCGGGCUUAACCUGGGAACAGCGUUUAAUACUGUAUGACUAGAGACCGAGAGAGGAAAGCGGAAUUCCUAGUGUAGAGGUGAAAUUCGUAGAUAUUAGGAGGAACACCAGUGGCGAAGGCGGCUAACUGGCUCGGUACUGACGCUGAGAUGCGAAAGCGUGGGGAGCAAACAGGAUUAGAUA
rnacentral:rRNA from 1 species